UACGUAGGGUGCAAGCGUUAAUCGGAAUUACUGGGCGUAAAGCGUGCGCAGGCGGUUAUGUGAGACAGGUGUGAAAUCCCCGGGCUUAACCUGGGAACUGCAUUUGUGACUGCAUAGCUAGAGUACGGUAGAGGGGAUGGAAUUCCGCGUGUAGCAGUGAAAUGCGUAGAUAUGCGGAGGAACACCGAUGGCGAAGGCAAUCCCCUGGACCUGUACUGACGCUCAUGCACGAAAGCGUGGGGAGCAAACAGG
rnacentral:rRNA from 1 species